rnacentral:lncRNA from 1 species
AGUGAGUAGGCUAUAUACUUGAAAGUAUAGUAUUUCAAUACUUAAGAAUGUAUAGUUCAAUCAAAUGCUUUAAGAAUAUAGGCAGCUAACCCAUCCUGCCAUUUAAAAAAUGUCCUACUAAAAUUUUCAUUCCCACAUUUUGGUACCCUAAAUAAUUUUAGGAAGAAACAUCUGACUGACUUCCGUCAGAAGUUGGACAGGAUUUUAGCUUGUGCUCUGAGUGCUCAGACUUGCUGUGUGCCCUUCACACUGUUGGAAAGAAGGAAAAGGCCAUUCAGUGGAGAGCUGACAAAACUUCCAGGAGAAUCGGACUUCGGUGAUGCACUCGUCCAUUUCGUUUGACUACGGUACCCACAGCAGCUAGGACAGGAUCUGGCGCUUAAACUUCAACACGAAGAACAGAGGUCAGUAUCACAUAACUUCUGUACCAGCUGGAGGAAAGUAGAAGAUGCACUUGGUUCUAUUUUACAGAGAGACCAUCACAGAGAGACAUUGUGACGUCUCCAGCAACCUCAUCG